UUGGUGUCAAGCAUGACAGCACACAGGAUCUGAGUAUUCUGCAUCGCAAUCUUAAGAUUGUUCAAUGUCUCCUGAUGGUACUCAUGGGUCCCAUGAGAAAAGUUAAACCUGGCAACAUUCAUGCCAGCACGGAGAAGCUUCUCCAGCAUUGGCACUGUUCUAGAAGAUGGCCCUAACGUGCAAACAAUCUUGGUCUUUGGAAUACGGCCAUCAUUUGGGAGAUCCUUCAUGAUUCCAGCUAUGUCUAUGUUGGCCAUUUCUUCUAUUUAUCAGUCACUACAAAAGUCACAGAUCAAACUACAACACCCCUUCAAGAUUUUACUUGUACUGUUUGUUGUGCUUUUGCCAGAUUCAACUACCAGGUCUAAAACUACACACAAAACACAACUAUUUGGCUUUAUAUUUAUAGGGAUAAGUAGGA
rnacentral:misc_RNA from 1 species